ensembl:lncRNA
GAAAUGAGGAGGAGAAAGAAGCCUUUGGAACUUUGGGAGAGCAGGGGAGGAACAGCCCAGCUGAAGGCAUGGUAGGCACUGUAGAAAUCCAGCCUGCUAUUUGCUCAUUGCACCACAGCAAACGUGUGGCCUAGCUGUGAUGAAACUGGCCGUGGGAGCAAGAGAUCUGGCUGGAGAGGGCAAAACAACAUGCCUGUUCCCAAAAAUGGGAGUUUUUUUGUGAACUUAAGCAUGAGAAGGUUAUAACUUUCCAUUCAGAAGCCAAUGAAGAUGUUUACCAUGAUGGUUUAAGCCCUCCCCAAAGAAGAAAGAUAGUGCAUGGCUGUUCACUUGGACAAUGGAUGCAAGUACAUGGCUUAGAGUAUCUAUUUCUAGAUUGGCAGAAGGAAGGAAUGCUAUCCAAGGGGACCUCGAUAAACUGGAAAGCUGAAUAAGAAGUGAGGGGAAAUACUCACACAAUUGCAAGUUUCUAUGAAUGGAAUGAUGGUGGAUACCCACGCUAUUGGGUCCUGUGCCAGAUAGCUGAGGCAUAGCAUGGUGAGUCCCGCUCAUCCACACAGUGCACGGCACUUCGUCAUCUCAGCCCUUUCCCUCUAAUAAGGGGUUGUGAUUUAGUAGUGUAGUUUGGUCUCCAUUUAUAAACAGAACACAUUGCAAUGUGAAAAUCUGGUUGUAAUCUUCCCGCGUGAUUUCUAGGGGCAAGGCACUUCAGUACUAAGCAAAGGGAAUGGGAGAAAUAUUUCUGUUGGGUCAUGUCCUUCUGUUAAACACCACCGAGAGAGGCAGCUCAGUGGUGUCUUCGUGCUCCUGGUGGCACUGUGCUGGGGAGGACCUGAGCUCUGCUGCUUUGGGGUCAGUGGCAGCAUCACUGCAUCCGAGUUUCAACAAAAGGACCUACAGACUGUUUUGCUACUCCACACAGAGCAGCUGCUAUCUGCACUGCAAAAGAUCCUGCUCCACACAGUUACUUUUAUUAAUUUUGUCAAAAAAAAAAAAAAAAGCAAACCUCAAUAAAGAAAACAAACUUGACAGUUAUCCUCAACAUCUGUAGGUUCUACAUCCCCUGAUUGCUCUCUCAUUGCCACUGUUCUGAUAACUGAGUACUUGGGGUCAUGGGUUAUCAGAUACCUUCACCAAGUCACUGCUGGCCUUCACAUGCACUGCCUCUGAGGAUGGUGCCAUGAGGAUGCUCAGGCUUAAUGCUGGACAUGUUAGGAGGGAACCAAAAUGCUUUCCACGUGAACGACCCCUGCAUCAGCAGAAUAUGUGCUAGAAGACACAUUUCAGAGCAACAGCUUUAGUUCAGGAGAUAACAGAGGAGCAGCUUCCAUCUGCAAAACACAGUGUAAUCCAUCUGCUCUCUUUGACAUCUCUUUGCUGCCUUUUGCAAAACUUAUUUCCCACUGCCUCUGCGCUUUCCAAAUACACUGUGACUCAUAUUCUUCCCAGGUACAGCAAAGCUGUGAAUUCCAUUCAGACAUUAUAGCAGUUCUCCUAUUUUGAUGGUCUCCCACUUCAGUAGCUUUAGCAGGGUUUAAUGAAUGGAGUUCUUGGUGGGAAGAGUAAAACAGAUGUUUUGUUUUCUUUUGUUUUCCUUUUCCAGCAAACAGUGAAGUUAUUUCUACAGAAUAACACCAGAAGAGUGCAAGAUCCUGCCAAAUCUCAGAGCACUAACCUGCAGCCUUAGCAGCGUGUGCAUUUCCAUUUAACCCACCAGCAGCCAGAACAAUUAAUAUUUAGAGGAAACACGACUAAAACUGGCAGAU